CGUGAACGAUGAAGGCUUUCGGGUCGUAAAGUUCUGUUGUCAGGGAAGAACAAGUACCGGAGUAACUGCCGGUACCUUGACGGUACCUGACCAGAAAGCCACGGCUAACUACGUGCCAGCAGCCGCGGUAAUACGUAGGUGGCAAGCGUUGUCCGGAAUUAUUGGGCGUAAAGCGCGCGCAGGCGGUUCCUUAAGUCUGAUGUGAAAGCCCCCGGCUCAACCGGGGAGGGUCAUUGGAAACUGGGGAACUUGAGUGCAGAAGAGGAGAGCGGAAUUCCACGUGUAGCGGUGAAAUGCGUAGAGAUGUGGAGGAACACCAGUGGCGAAGGCGGCUCUCUGGUCUGUAACUGACGCUGAGGCGCGAAAGCGUGGGGAGCGAACAGGAUUAGAUACCCUGGUAGUCCACGCCGUAAACGAUGAGUGCUAAGUGUUAGAGGGUUUCCGCCCUUUAGUGCUGCAGCAAACGCAUUAAGCACUCCGCCUGGGGAGUACGGCCGCAAGGCUGAAACUCAAAGGAAUUGACGGGGGCCCGCACAAGCGGUGGAGCAUGUGGUUUAAUUCGAAGCAACGCGAAGAACCUUACCAGGUCUUGACAUCCUCUGACAACCCUAGAGAUAGGGCGUUCCCCUUCGGGGGACAGAGUGACAGGUGGUGCAUGGUUGUCGUCAGCUCGUGUCGUGAGAUGUUGGGUUAAGUCCCGCAACGAGCGCAACCCUUGAUCUUAGUUGCCAGCAUUCAGUUGGGCACUCUAAGGUGACUGCCGGUGACAAACCGGAGGAA
rnacentral:rRNA from 1 species